CAGCAGCAUGGGGUUGGCGCCAUUGAGGAACUGGCCCUGACCAUUUACCACCAUUCUUGGAUCUCCCAGCCCUUUUUCCACUCUGAGCUCCAGGCUUUUUCUCACCCUGCCUUCAUUGUCCACUCGAAGUCCCGUCUCUUCUCCUCGUGGAAUCUCAUAUUUGGAGGUAGUGUCUUGGGCCCUUUAGGCAAUUUACCCACUCCUCUUCCACCAGCUCUGCAUUCCAAAGGAGUAUUGGGGUGGGAGUGGGAGAUGGGAGGAUGUGGCAGGGAAGGGAGAGCCUUUGUGGGCCCUCAAAAGGAUGCUGGAGAGGUGACAUUCAAGGCUCAGGGAACAGUCAAAGACACUUUGCUCCCAGGGAGCUAUGUCCAUUCAGAGAGAAAAAAACUGUCAGAUUCUUGCCCCUUUGCUGCCUGUGCUCUUCCUCCCGCCUCUGCCAACCCAGUCCUAGCAGGUAUGCCCAAGUUAGCCCAAAGAGACUGCUCAGAUUUCUGUGGGUUCAUAGAGUCAUCUGCAAUCAUGAAUACACUCCUGGGAGUGGUUGGUUUGGGUUGUUUGAAAAAUCCGUUCUGCCCCAUAUACAGUUUCCUGCAGCUUGCUUUUCUCACUUAAGAAAUACAUCUCAUGGAAAUCUCUGUAGUUCAAUAGUUACACAGUAGUCCCCCCUUAUCUGCGGUUUCACUUUCCAUGGUUUCGGUUGCCUGCAGUCAACCGUGG